rnacentral:rRNA from 1 species
GCCCUUCCUACGGGAGGCAGCAGGAGGGAAUUUUCGGCAAUGGGCGAAAGCCUGACCGAGCAAUGCCGCGUGAAUGAUGAAGAUCUUCGGAUUGUAAAGUUCUGUUGUUAGGGAAGAACAUAUCAACAAGUGGAAAACGUUGAUACUGACGGUACCUAACUAGAAAGCCCCGGCUAAAUAUGUGCCAGCAGCCGCGGUAAUACAUAUGGGGCAAGCGUUAUCCGGAAUUAUUGGGCGUAAAGCGUGCGUAGGCGGUUUGUUAAGUCCGGUGUGAAAUUUCAUGGCUUAACCAUGAAGGGUCAUUGGAAACUGGCAAACUUGAGUACGGUAGGGGUAAGUGGAAUUCCAAGUGGAGCGGUGGAAUGCGUAGAGAUUUGGAGGAACACCAGUGGCGAAGGCGGCUUACUGGGCCGGAACUGACACUGAGGCACGAAAGCGUGGGGAGCAAACAGGAUUAGAUACCCUGGUAGUCCACGCUGUAAACGUUGAGUAUUAAGUGUCGGAUGUAAAUUCGGUGCUGCAGUUAACACAAUAAAUACUCCGCCUGGGGAGUACGGUCGCAAGACUGAAACUCAAAGGAAUUGACGAAGGGC